rnacentral:tRNA from 1 species
GGAAUAAUUCUGAUACUUUCUCUUUAUGAGCAUUCCUCAACAGGGAUCGGCACUCAAUUGCUUUAGUGAAUA